rnacentral:rRNA from 1 species
CGGACGGGUGAGUAAUGUAUAGUUAAUCUGCCCUUUAGAGGGGGAUAACAGUUGGAAACGACUGCUAAUACCCCAUACUCCUUUUAUCUUAAUGAUAAUUGGGAAACGUUUUUUCGCUAAAGGAUGAGACUAUAUGGUAUCAGGUAGUUGGUAGGGUAAGAGCCUACCAAGCCAAUGACGCCUAGCUGGUCUGAGAGGAUGAUCAGCCACACUGGAACUGAGACACGGUCCAG